rnacentral:rRNA from 1 species
UGAGGAAUAUUGGUCAAUGGACGAGAGUCUGAACCAGCCAAGUAGCGUGAAGGAUGAAGGUCCUACGGAUUGUAAACUUCUUUUAUAAGGGAAUAAACCCUCCCACGUGUGGGAGCUUGUAUGUACCUUAUGAAUAAGCAUCGGCUAACUCCGUGCCAGCAGCCGCGGUAAUACGGAGGAUGCGAGCGUUAUCCGGAUUUAUUGGGUUUAAAGGGAGCGCAGACGGGUCGUUAAGUCAGCUGUGAAAGUUUGGGGCUCAACCUUAAAAUUGCAGUUGAUACUGGCGUCCUUGAGUGCGGUUGAGGUGUGCGGAAUUCGUGGUGUAGCGGUGAAAUGCUUAGAUAUCACGAAGAACUCCGAUUGCGAAGGCAGCACACUAAGCCGUAACUGACGUUCAUGCUCGAAAGUGUGGGUAUCAAACAGGAUUAGAUACCCUGGUAGUCCACACGGUAAACGAUGGAUACUCGCUGUUGGCGAUAUACUGUCAGCGGCUUAGCGAAAGCGUUAAGUAUCCCACCUGGGGAGUACGCCGGCAACGGUGAAACUCAAAGGAAUUGACGGGGGCCCGCACAAGCGGAGGAACAUGUGGUUUAAUUCGAUGAUACGCGAGGAACCUUACCCGGGCUUAAAUUGCAAAGGAAUAAUCUGGAAACAGAUUAGUCUUCGGACCUUUGUGAAGGUGCUGCAUGGUUGUCGUCAGCUCGUGCCGUGAGGUGUCGGCUUAAGUGCCAUAACGAGCGCAACCCUCGCCGCCAGUUACUAACAGUUAAAGCUGAGGACUCUGGCGGGACUGCCAUCGUAAGAUGUGAGGAAGGUGGGGAUGACGUCAAAUCAGCACGGCCCUUACGUCCGGGGCUACACACGUGUUACAAUGGGCGGUACAGAAGGCAGCUACCUGGCGACAGGAUGCCAAUCCCGAAAGCCGCUCUCAGUUCGGACUGGAGUCUGCAACCCGACUCCACGAAGCUGGAUUCGCUAGUAAUCGCGCAUCAGCCACGGCGCGGUGAAUACGUUCCC